rnacentral:lncRNA from 1 species
AUGGAACAGGGCUUGUCUUUAUGACUUACAGAAUCCACUGAAAUCUCUGUGGACAUUGCCAACCUUGGGGGAACUUCUCCAAGCCUCUUGUCACUCCAGCACCUUCCACCUCUUCCCCUCUGAAGACCUCAGACUCUGUCCUACGCCCCUAAAGAAAUAUCUCCCACAGUCCCCAACACGACGAGGCAAGAGAGCCAAAACUUGGGAUGGCAAAGAGGGGAAAAAAACAACAGGGAGAACAGCAACGCGAAAAACACAAAUUACUCUCUCGGUAAAUCAUCCUGUAAAACAGUAGCACACGUACGAGGUCAAGCUUCAAGGAAUGGAAAUAAUUGUCACUGAUGCUAGAGGCUGGACUUGGGACUACAGAAUUGUCGCUAGCACUGUACAAUGGCUUUGGGUGGGGCCCAUUCACGUGUUUCCUUUGUUUUAUCCACCCACUCUCCCCUGGUGGCCGCCCUGCUGGUCUGGAUGUGCGCUCUGGGAGCAGAGGGCCCUUGCUGGGAGCUCACUCACUGGACCAUGCCUAGGUCUUUGCUAGACUGGCCCUGAGCUAACAUCCAUGCACAUCUUCUUCUACUUUAUAUGUGGGACACCUACCACAGCAUGGCGUGGUGCCAUGUCCACACCCAGGAUCCGAACUGACAAACCCCGGGCCGUGGAGAAGCAGAAUGUGCGCACUUAACCACUGCGCCACUGGGCUGGCCCUGCAGCCCGGAUCCUUCUCACUGGUCUCCACCAGCAGGAGGCAUGUAAAUGGGAUGGUCGACAGCCAAGAGGAGAGCCAGCGCUUAAUGAAGGCGCAGUCUGUGUCGCAUGAUCUCAUCAGACCUCGCAGAAACCUCUGAAGUAGGCAUUGUCAGGUUUACAGAUGAGGAAACUGAGGCUCGGUGAUGUGUUGGCUUUGUGCCCAAGUUCACGCCGCUGAGAAGACACAGAGCUGGACGCUCCUCCUCAGUCCCUGGAGGCUGGUCUCUGCAAUCCAGCAGCCCAGGCGGUUCCCACCCCUCCCUGUGGCCUCCUCGGAAGGUACUGUUCCCCAGCCUGGCAGCAGGUGGGGACAGAACACCACUGGCCCCGCUCAAUUACCUUUGAAGUGUUCCCAGCCCAUGAGGAGGAUACCUGGGUGAGGAGACCAGGUGUCUGCAAGGCUUGGAGGAGACAGUGGCCCCAGGAACCAGCUAAGUUUUCAGGGGAGAAUCGUCCAGGAGGAUCAUGGUUCCGGUUGAUUCUAUAAAUAAAGAGGAAGGUACUAAGUAUUUUUGGUCACUACUGAGAGACCACAAGAUGACUAGGAAAAGAUUCAGCGUUGACAAGACGCAUGUAGGAAUUUCACAAUGCUUCUCCGCCUCUGUGAAUCUUGCAAAUAUUAAUUUAAUCUGCUGGGUAAAUUGGUAAUAAAAUUCUCUUUGUAUUAAGGAAGUGGUGAAGUUAAUAGGCU